rnacentral:rRNA from 1 species
CAGUCGCCGCGGUAAUGCGUAGGGUGCGAGCGUUAAUCGGAAUUACUGGGCGUAAAGCGUGCGCAGGCGGUUGUGUAAGACGGGUGUGAAAUCCCCGGGCUUAACCUGGGAACUGCGCUUGUGACUGCACAGCUAGAGUAUGGCAGAGGGGGGUGGAAUUCCACGUGUAGCAGUGAAAUGCGUAGAGAUGUGGAGGAACACCGAUGGCGAAGGCAGCCCCCUGGGCCAACACUGACACUGGGGCACGAAAGCGUGGGGAGCAAACAGGAUUAGAUACCCCUGUAGUCCCUGUCUCUUAUAC